rnacentral:rRNA from 1 species
AGCGAACGCUGGCGGCAGGCCUAACACAUGCAAGUCGAACGAAGUCUUCGGACUUAGUGGCGGACGGGUGAGUAACACGUGGGAACGUACCUUUUGGUUCGGAACAACUCAGGGAAACUUGAGCUAAUACCGGAUGUGCCCUUAGGGGGAAAGAUUUAUCGCCAUUAGAGCGGCCCGCGUUGGAUUAGGUAGUUGGUGAGGUAAAGGCUCACCAAGCCUACGAUCCAUAGCUGGUCUGAGAGGAUGAUCAGCCACACUGGGACUGAGACACGGCCCAGACUCCUACGGGAGGCAGCAGUGGGGAAUCUUGCGCAAUGGUCGAAAGACUGACGCAGCCAUGCCGCGUGAAUGAUGAAGGUCUUAGGAUUGUAAAAUUCUUUUACCAGGGACGAUAAUGACGGUACCUGGAGAAAAAGCCCCGGCUAACUUCGUGCCAGCCGCCGCCGUAACAC